GACGAACGCUGGCGGCGUGCUUAACACAUGCAAGUCGAGCGGUAAGGCUCCUUCGGGAGUACACGAGCGGCGAACGGGUGAGUAACACGUGAGUAACCUGCCCCAAUCAUCGGGAUAACCAUUGGAAACGAUGGCUAAUACCGAAUACGACCACCGAAGGCAUCUUCUGGUGGUGGAAAGCUCCGGCGGAUUGGGAUGGACUCGCGGCCUAUCAGCUUGUUGGUGAGGUAAUGGCUCACCAAGGCAACGACGGGUAGCCGGCCUGAGAGGGUGACCGGCCACACUGGGACUGAGACACGGCCCAGACUCCUACGGGAGGCAGCAGUGGGGAAUAUUGGACAAUGGGCGCAAGCCUGAUCCAGCAACGCCGCGUGAGGGAUGACGGCCCUCGGGUUGUAAACCUCUUUCAGUAGGGACGAAGCGAAAGUGACGGUACCUACAGAAGAAGGACCGGCCAACUACGUG
rnacentral:rRNA from 1 species